UCCUGUUUUCCAGAGUGGCUGCACCAGCUUUAUAUUCCCCAUGUCCUUAUUUUAGAGAUGAGGAAACAAGUCCCAGGGUCACUUAGUUUAGCAGCAGAAUCAUAAUGUGGCGAUCAGACCUCUGUUUUUUCUUUUACCCUAAGUGGAGACAUGUACCAAUAGAAUGCGUGUCAUCAGGAAGAUAAUAAAUGAAAAUACUUGAGUCUUUUAAUUAAGUCUUUCUGAAGAUUUCUAAUUGAUGUAGGCUCUCUGCCAGGCCCUAGAUUAGGACUGCAUAUUCUUCCCCUAUUCAUUGAGAGUUCCCAUAGCACUUUGUCCCAGAGUAGAACUGAACCAAAGGGAUCUUAGAUUUCUCCUUGCUCAUCCAGCCCAGCCCGUUGAUGCAUUGUGAUGCCAGGUGCUGUGCUAAACAUGUUUCUCAUGAAGUCAGACUUAGGAUGAGUAUGGCCCUGCCUCUUAUUAGGUUACUUCAGCUCUCUGUUUCAGUUUCUUAAUCUAUAAAAUAAUAACUACAUUAUAGAAUUGUAUUGAGGAUGAAAUGAGUCAAUGUACACAGAACAUUUAGCAGAAUGCCUGGCAACUAGUAAAUGCUCAAAAUACUAACUUGUAUUGCAAAUAAAUUGAGAGGUCAAUUUUUCUUCUACAUUUUCUCCUUAUUUGUAGGAAAAAAGACUGACAUAUUUAGACUCUAGAUUGUAUGUGUUUAUUUAUGUCUAUCUCUAAGUCCACCUGUGCUGGUUAAAUGAUAAUCAUGGCCAGGUCAUGCCCAGGCAUCAAAAAGUUAACUUCAUUUGCUCACUGUCCUACAAAUAGAAUGUUUGGGAAUGAUAGCUAGUACCACCCAGCAGUGAGGACCCUGAUCUUUUAUUAUAAGCCUCUUUAGCCUAAAAUCCUUUAAUGGUUCCUGUAGUCUUUGGGAUACAAAUCUGAUUUGGAAUAGGGAUCUUGCCUCUGCUUUUCUCUUUGCAGUCCUUACAGCCUGUUACCCACCUGUGCUUUAUUUUUCUAUCAUAUUGAGUUAUUUGAUGUUCCUAUGUUUUUCGAUUGUCAUAGUUUCCCAACCCUGGAACUUAGCACAUUCUGUGUCUUUUACCUGGGGUGCCUGUUAACCCUGCUCUUAGUUUCUCCACUGCGGGUGCACGUGCAUGUGUGCGCACACACACACAUGCACACACACAGAGGACAAGUGUCUUUUUCGCCUCCACGGUACCUGAUGUGCAUUUGUCAGAACAUAUGCCACAUUGUUUUGCCAGUUUUUGUCUCCCUGCUGGACUGAGCUCGAUGGGGUCAGAAUCUGCUUUUUCUCUUUCUCUCGCCAGCAGCAAGCCCAAUGCCGGGCUCAAAAUCAGCAUCCAAACAAGGAGUGACUGAUGCCAAACAACCUUGGGUAAGUUGGCAGUUGAGCUAGGUUACAGUAGGUUUGUAUUUGUAUGAGAUUGGACAAAUGCGUCCCGCUAGCAGCUUCACGCUGGCAAGGUGGCCAAGCAGCUGAAACUGCCGGCGGUAUGUCGGAGACCGCGGUGGGCCUGGGACCGCGGGACUGCUCAGGGAUUCUCUGCUGUGUCUGUACCAGUUCUCGGGCCAGAAAGCCAAGAGACGCCUACAACAGCUGUUUCUGUGAGACUUGGGGCCACAGUGUUGAGUUCAGUGGACGUGGCAAAGCAGGUGCAGUUUGUGCAUCGGCUUCCUUCCCUGUGGAGCUGGGGGCCCAGCUGAGGCAUGGGCCGGAGGCGCGGUGGCACAAAGACUGAAGGGGGGGGUGGGAGGAAGGAGAGGGGGUUGUAAGGCAGCUAUCAGAAUCCUGACAGUAUAAAAUGGGUGUUCUGGAAUUGCACUGCCUGUGUGUGAACCUGCCUCGGCCACUCCUCUUCCUAAGCCGUGUAACCUUGGACAAUUUCCAUAAUUCCCUGAGCCUUAGUUUUCCCAUCUGUAAACUGGAGGUCUAGUUUAUCUACUGUAGACUAGGUCUAGAGAACCUGUGUCAUGGGGUUUUAAUGAAGCUGGAAUAAAAUAAAUGCUCAAUAAAUGUUAGCCACUAUAGUAUUGUCUAUUGACAGGUUGUGAAAAGGACAGAUUGUGAGAAGGUCCCUGAGCUCAGAGACCAUGCCCAUAUUAUUCACUGUGUGUCUCCAGCACUUGGCACGUAAACACAGGCUGUGUAGCAGAUGGUUGUUGAAUUACUAAAUGAGGGUGGCCAGGGGAGAAUUUUUUAGAGGUCUCUCAGUAUUGUGGCUUUUCCUAGAAUGUCUUUCAGACGAAGCCAUUUCGAUUGUACUUUGUGAUGCCUGGGCUGAGUUUUCUCAGCAUAUUUUGUGCCACGUCGACUCUACUAAGAAACAAGUAUAAAUCCUAGCAUGAGUGGGUCUCCUGUGAGGAAGGGGCUGGUACCAUGUCCACAUUUGAAUCCCCCAAGACAAUGCCAGCAGUACAUCAGAAAAUGAAGUUUCUUUCUGAACAUUUAUUCCACAGUCAUAGAAACUGAAGAUGGAAAAGACCUGAGAACAUCUAGUCCAUCCAUGUGGUUGUACAAGAAAAGUGGCUGGAGCAAAACAGCCUGUUCACUUCAUGCUCACAAGACAGCAUUUCAGUUCUUCCUGGACUGGAGCGAUUGCACACACGUUAAAAUGAAGACACAAUGCAAACACUCUUUACAAACCUUAAGAAAAUACCUCUAAGUACAUUAUUUUCAUAAAACGAUUGGGAACUAAGCAAAAAAGAGGGAGGGACUCCUGGAUUAGAUGGGAGGCGUAGGUAGGUGAAAAAAGGAGUAUCUCAACAGUGCAGCUAGUGGAGUGGUUUUGAUGACUAAAACACAAGUUCUUUCCAUGACUGGUUGGAUUUUCUGGUUUGCUUAUCAAAAAUGAGUUGGGAGGAGAGAGGCUCUAAAGUAGUUUCUUUUGCCUUCAUUCUUUAUCCACGCCAAGGAAGUGCUUAUUAGCUCCAAGGCCCUAUUAGACCCAGCGCCAACACCGAGAAGCCCACUGCCCCGAUGUAGCUGGGUUUUACUUGGCAGUUGCUUCACUGACCGCUUCUCUGGUUGGCACAGAAGCAGCUCCUGCAGAGGGUUUGUGCAACAGCAAGAUCCAUGAAUGAUGGAAUCACCUCCAGGCACGUUAAAGACCUCAACUGAUUGUGUCCCUGUGGCUGCCUCACUUGGCUGUCCCAUUUUUCCAACUCAUCUUUUAAUAGUUGGAGGGAUCCCCUUGCUGCUCCUCUACCUCGAGGCAUCCGCACUCUGGGGCCCUUGGUAUUAUUUACAUGAAGCACGUAGCCUAUCUGUUCCUGCUCACACCCGCCAUAUUGUAUUGUGUGCUUCUUGUGCCAGGAACUUCCCCACCUUGGAAAACAGGGUGGGGUGUGCGACACAAUCAGGUUGUCCGGCUGCCCAGCACCAGAGUUUGGAAAAGAAUGGACCUUCCUGAUCUCAUGAAAUAGGAGUCCGGACGAGGAGGCAAGGGAGCAAUCCCUUACCUCUUUCUUCCUCACUAAAAUACCAUCCUCCACCUGAAGACUUUGAUCUUUGUGGUUUUUGAGCCCGAGGGGAGUUGAAAGAACAGGUGGAGCAGAACAGAAAGGAGGGUUUUCAAAGGACCCACCAUUUCAUGAACUUUUUUUUAUAAAACACAACACACUUUCACAGACUGCAAAACACUGUUCAGUUACUACCGAUAAUGACAACCACCGCUACUUGGGGCCGCUUCGUUCCACCACAAGCAGCUAUGCGGUUCCUCUUCAUCCAGAACACGGAGGCAUUUCAAGCGAUGCCCACGGCAGCAAGCCUGCUUUCAGCCCCUGCUGCUGCUGGCCACCCCCUGGCCAUCCACUUUGUGGGUAGGCAGGACCCUGCGGCUGCUACCACCGCUCAGAACGCCUUAGGAGAGAAGCUUAAGCUCUGUUUUCCUGCUCACAGCCAGCUGCAGCUCCUGACGGAUCACCUGAAUCUGCUUCUCAAGCUCUGAGAGUUCCUGCAUCACUGAGUUCCGAGCUCCAUUUAGGGAGUCUGCCUUCCCGUUGGUGGUCAGCGAGGCAGGGAGCUCUCUUCUCCUUGGAGGGAGCGGGAUGUCCUGGUGGGUCCGGAUGCUCAGCUGGUUUUGUCCUCCCUCAUCACUAAAGAUGUAUUUUCGUCGGUUAUCCUGACUCAGAUUGGAAGUAUUCCACACAGUGAGCUGACGGGGUCCCACACUGGCCCUAGGAAACAAAGACACUUUAGAUUUACCUUCCAUUCUGCGGCUCUCAAAGUGCUGCUCCCCAGCUGUUGGCCAUUUCAAACUGUGAAUAUGGAACUGGACAUGCAUUCAGAAGACAGAUUGCCACGGACAGACUGCCUGUUGGAGUGGCAUAGGGACAAAAAGAGCCAUUACAAUUCUUUUCAACUGAAGUUCUUACCAAGACUUAAGCUGCCCUGAAAUUGGAAUGGAUGUAUCAUCUGGAGGGCUGAUGGACCAGGGUGUGGCGUAUUCUUUUUUGAAGAACCUUGGAUGUCUUUCCACUCCCAUCCUGCCAGUGAGGCUCAGAGCACAGCACCGGCUUGAAGCAUUCUCUGGCUACAAAGAUGGUGCUUUAGUAAAAGUGAGAGCCUAUUUGUUCACCUGUUGGGCUCUAAGCAUAAGCCGGCUGGUAGAUACUAUAAAACGGGUCAUGCUCAAUCCCACAGGACUACCUGAAGUUUACUGCUUGAGUUUGAGGAGAAUAAAAACAUACAAGCUGAAGGUUUCAGCAAAAAGUUUUCCAUUAUAGGGAUGAUUUUAUGUGGGUCGAGAAUGACAGCUCAGGUCUGAAGCUUUAAAAGAAACCCCAAGAAAGCCUCAAAUUCUUGCUGGAAUAAUGAAAGUCAAUAGAAACAGAUUCACAGUCCUCUUUCAGGCUUGCGUCAAACCACCUGCUACCAUCUCAGGGAGAUGGCUGUAGAGAGCAAGACUUAACUGCCGGACAGGCACAAGAGGAGGGGAUUUGGUGCCUGAAAGGAACUCUGACAGUCAGAUGUAAUGAGAAGAGUUUCUUGCUACAAGAACAGACUAGAGCCCCAAGCAGCAUAGCUGCGGAUUUCUUCUAGCCUUGUUGGAGGAGGUGGAGGGUUAUGAACACUUCUGCAAUCCACCACAGGGCAAACCUACAGAGAAACACUCUAUUAAGUCCUUGUGUUUCUGUUCCCAUCCAUGUCACUAAAUCAAAACUUUA